rnacentral:rRNA from 1 species
UACGGGGGGGGCAAGCGUUGUUCGGAAUUACUGGGCGUAAAGGGCUCGUAGGUGGCCAACUAAGUCAGACGUGAAAUCCCUCGGCUUAACCGGGGAACUGCGUCUGAUACUGGAUGGCUAGAGUUUGGGAGAGGGAUGCGGAAUUCCAGGUGUAGCGGUGAAAUGCGUAGAUAUCUGGAGGAACACCGGUGGCGAAGGCGGCAUCCUGGACCAACACUGACGCUGAGGAGCGAAAGCCAGGGGAGCAAAGCGGG